GACGAACGCUGGCGGCGUGCCUAAUACAUGCAAGUAGAACGCUGAAGCGAGGAGCUUGCUCUUCUUGGAUGAGUUGCGAACGGGUGAGUAACGCGUAGGUAACCUGCCUUGUAGCGGGGGAUAACUAUUGGAAACGAUAGCUAAUACCGCAUAACAAUGGUUGACACAUGUCAUUUAUUUUAAAGGGGCAAUUGCUCCACUACAAGAUGGACCUGCGUUGUAUUAGCUAGUAGGUGAGGUAAUGGCUCACCUAGGCGACGAUACAUAGCCGACCUGAGAGGGUGAUGGGCCACACUGGGACUGAGACACGGCCCAGACUCCUACGGGAGGCAGCAGUAGGGAAUCUUCGGCAAUGGGGGGAACCCUGACCGAGCAACGCCGCGUGAGUGAAGAAGGUUUUCGGAUCGUAAAGCUCUGUUGUAAGUCAAGAACGGGUGUGAGAGUGGAAAGUUCACACUGUGACGGUAGCUGACCAGAAAGGGACGGCUAACUACGUG
rnacentral:rRNA from 1 species